GAAACUGGGAAGACCCAGGAACAGCUGGAGAAGGUCUAUCGAGGAGGAAAUAAAAUAAUCAAGAACAUUUUUCAAAGGGAGGCAGGUAGUCCAGCUGCUUCAAUAUAUCCUCGUAGUUUUCCUCCCUCAUGAUGCCAUCUAUUUUGUAAAGUGCACCCACAAUCUGAUGCUGCCGCCCCCGUGCUUCACGGUUGGGAUGGUGUUCUUCAGCUUGCAAGCCUCCCCCUUUUUCCUCCAAACAUAACGAUGGUCAUUAUGGCCAAACAGUUCUAUUUUUGUUUCAUCAGACCAGAGGAUAUUUCUCCAAACAGUAUGAUAUUUGUCCCCAUGUGCAGUUGCAAACCGUAGUCUGACAUUUUUUAUGGAGGUUUUGGAGCAGUGGCUUCUUCCUUGCUGAGCGGCCUUUCAGGUUAUGUCGAUAUAGGACUCGUUUUACUGUGGACAUAGAUACUUUUGUACCUGUUUCCUCCAGCAUCUUCACAAGAUGAACGUGGCACCUUCAGGCGUUUGGAAAUUGCUCCCAAGGGUGAACCAGACGUGGAGGUCUACAAUUUUCUUUCUGAGGUCUUGGCUGAUUUCUUUGGAUUUUCCCAUAAUGUCAAGCAAUGAGGCACUCAGUUUGAAGGUAGGCCUUGAAAUACAUCCACAGAUACACCUCCAAUUGAUUCAAAUGAUGUCAAUUAGCCUAUCAGAAGCUUCUAAAGCCAUGACAUUUUCUAGAAUUUUCCAAGCUGUUUGAAGGCAGUCAAAUUAGUGUAUGUAAACUUCUGACCCACUGGAAUUGUGAUACAGUGAAUUAUAAGUGAAAUAAUCUGUAAAUAAUUGUUGAGAAAAUUACUUGUGUCAUGCACAAAGUAGAUGUCCUAACCGACUUGCCAAAACUAUAGUUUGUUAACAAGAAAUUUGUGGAGUGGUUGAAAAACGAGUUUUAAUGACUCCAACCUAAGUGUAUGUAAACUUCUGACUUCAACUGUAAAUGAGAUCUGUCGACGUGCCCUUGAGCAAGGCACUUAACCCUAAUUGCUCCUGUAAGUCGCUCUGGAUAAGAGCGUCUGCUAAAUGACAAAAAUAUAAAAUUAAUAUAACGAAGUGGGGGAAACCAAACCUGAUGGAAAAGUCUGAAUGACCCAGAGACGGGUUGGCUGACAACGUCACGAGAAUGUGGGCACAUCGAUGAGGAAGAAGGCCAUGUGGUGGUAUGAAUAAAAUAGCUAACAACCAUGUGGGGAAUCGUAGGUGGCUAGUUUCAUCUCGUUGAUACUGUUUUGAGGUGUUUUGACUCAUGUCUAUGCUAAUAUGGCUCAAAUUCGCUAGCUAACCAACAACUGUAAUGAUGUAUUUGAGAAACAAGUGCUCCUUCUGCAAAUGUAUUUGUUUUCAAUAAACAUUUUGAGACUAAAUAUAGUUUACAUGUCAACAAUCUAAA
ensembl:lncRNA